rnacentral:rRNA from 1 species
AUUGAACGCUGGCGGCAGGCCUAACACAUGCAAGUCGAACGAGUGGCGGACGGGUGAGUAAUGUCUGGGAAACUGCCUGAUGGAGGGGGAUAACUACUGGAAACGGUAGCUAAUACCGCAUACCAUAAGAUGUGCCCAGCUGGGAUUAGCUAGUUGGUGGGGUAACGGCUCACCAAGGCGACGAUCCCGAGCUGUGCUGAGAGGCUGACCAGGGACCCUGGAACGAAGACACGGUCCAUACGCCCAAGGCAGGCAGCAGUGGGGAAUAUGGCACAAUGGGCGCAAGCCUGAUGCAGCCAUGCCGCGUGUGUGAAGAGGGCCUGCGGGUUGUAAAGUACUUUCAGCGGUGAGGCGUUACCCGCAGAAGAAGCACCGGCUAACUCCGUGCCAGCAGCCGCGGUAAUUC